rnacentral:rRNA from 1 species
UACGUAGGUGGCAAGCGUUGUCCGGAUUUACUGGGCGUAAAGGGAGCGUAGGCGGAUUUUUAAGUGAGAUGUGAAAUACCCGGGCUUAACUUGGGUGCUGCAUUUCAAACUGGAAGUCUAGAGUGCAGGAGAGGAGAAGGGAAUUCCUAGUGUAGCGGCGAAAUGCGUAGAGAUUAGGAAGAACACCAGUGGCGAAGGCGCUUCUCUGGACUGUAACUGACGCUGAGGCUCGAAAGCGUGGGGAGCAAACAGGGAUUAGAUACCCUGGUAGU